UGGUCUUGACAUCCCGAGGAUUUUUUAGAAAUAUUAAAGUGCCUCUUAGAGGAAUUCGGUGAC
rnacentral:rRNA from 1 species